rnacentral:tRNA from 1 species
AUUCCCCCCAUUAGCU